AAACUAGCUACUUGUUCCAAAAGUGAUACAACUAAUGUUUUUUAUAUUGAGUUGUUUAGCAUCGUCUGGAGUGUGGAGGACUCUAAAAUAACGUUUUGGCACAAACUGACAAACAAAAUAAAAUUUCAUUAUAAGAAGUAUCUUUUGCGUAUUUAAACUGAGCAUCCGGUUUUGACGGUUAAGGUGUCAUUUCUCGUGUAUUUCAAGUGAAAUUAAUAAUCAAAAUAUUCACCUUCACACAUACAUCACUCUUUUUCCCAACAAAAUUUUUUUAUUGUUUCGUUUUCGAAUGCGAUCCUUACAGUUUUGCAAUACUAUUCGAUUGAUGUAUCACUCGGAACAAUCAGACGUUGGUUUUUAUUUCGUCCCAUACAUAUAGUUCUCACCUUCGCACACCCUCCUGGUGCGCUUCGUCACUACGUGGACUGCCGUCCACAGUAAUACUACUAUACUAAUAGUUCCUGGUAGAAUUGGACUCGUAGUUCAUUAAAUAAUCACAACAAAUUUUUAGGAUACAUUUUUUUUAUCUCUGUGUUGGUAAUCAGGUAAUUUACAACUAUCAUGCCACCAUUUAGUCUUAAACUACAACUUGGCAAACAUUGACAAUUUGGAAUUUUGGGAAUUCGAUCUCUACCCGGUCAUCCUGUCGGCCAUGAAAGAAAGUAUGUAAAUACUAGCCAAAAGAAUUUGGUAACCUUGUACUAAUUAAAGUAUGGCGAAGGGUCCGCGAUACAAUAAGGAAGCCUCAAACUACUAACAUAAAUAACAUAAAUUUAAAUCCUUAAACAAUCCAUAUAUUUUUAUUUUUUUGGUGCACCAGCAAGUUUUGUCUAUGUUUAAUUGUUCCAAUUUUGUUGUCAACAUAAGAAACCUAGCUGGUUGUCAGCAAGACUACUUGCAUUGAGUUAGCUUUGGUCACACAAAGAACACGAUUUUUCGACAUGUUCUGAGCUCUUGCUAGGCUAUUUAGCCAAAACCCAAACAGCGUCUUCCCACAGAGAUCCAUCAUCACCAUCCAUCAAGAGUCCGUCAAAAAUCCCUAUUCAAAUUGGUCGGGCUCUUUCAGGCGAUGUUAUUUCGGUGCAUCUUUGAGAUGGUGAAUGUACUCUGUGGGAAUCGAAGUUUCACAUUUGUUAAGAAUCCCAAACGUUUCGAACGGAUGCCCCUAUAGAAAGGAGGUACAUAGCUAUCGAAUUUCCGAGGUUUGAACUUCAACCAAAGGGAACAAGAACUGCGGACCUGCUGUUGAUGGCAGCAACGUACACCCCCCAUCCUUGAGCUGCGUGAACUUUUGUGCAACUCUCCCUGGCACUGGAUACUGGGUCUGUUAUUCGUCAGCUCACAACAUUUUCACGCUCUACCCACCUUUAUUCUUUCUUUUUAACUUUAAUUUGCAAAACCUUUACAAUUAACAUAUACUUCGUUGCAUAGCUUCCUAACCAGGGUACCACAGGGACGAAUAUGUGGGUGACGAUAAUAACAAUUUCUAGUUUAUUUUAAUUCUUACUUCUGUAUGUACAUAUGUAUGUAUGUCAGACGGCAAAAAGCUCUUUUUUGUGCCUAAAAAGCUGUGCCCCUGUCGACGUUAACAGAUAAGUCGGAACAGCGUAGAAGAGUGCCGACAAAUAAGUUAAAUAUGGCAUUCAAAAGUAUUCACAGUUAUAAGGAAUAAUCAACGUUAGAAACUUCGUGUGAAAUUUUUAAGGAUUGUUGGUAGCCUUAGUAAUAUUAAAAUAAUUCUUUAUUAUUUCUACGACCAUUUACUUGACAGUUAUAUGUUAGAGUAGUCCGAUUUUUAUUAAACUUAAUUCCAAAUUGUUAAAAAAGUAUCAAAAAUUAUAUUCCCAAUAUUCUAAGAUAAUAUGUCAAAAAACGACGAAUCUAUAAUUUGUUUCAUAUUAUUUUCCUACCCAUUUUUCAAUCAUUCCUAUGACAGCUAUAUGAUAUAGCUAUAUGAUAUAGUCGUCCGAUUUUGAUAAAAUUUAAUUCGAAGUUCAGAACUAAUUAAAAAAUGUUAUUUUAAAGCUAUAAUUUUUUUUUAAAUUUUUUCCCCGACAGUUCCUAUGGGAGCUAUAAGAUAUAGUUGUCCGAUUCGGCUGGUUCCGACAUAUAUACUACCUGCAAUAGAAGGAAAACUUUUGGGAAAGUUUCAGCCCGAUAGUUUCAAAACUGGAAGACUAGUUUGAGUAGAAACCGUCAGACAGACGGAUAUGGCGAGAUCAACUCGUCUAGAGACGCUGAUCAAGAAUAUAUAUACUUUAUGGGGUCGGAAACGUCUCCUUCACUGCAUUGCAAACUUCUAACUGAAAUCAUUAUACCCUCUGCAAGCGUAUAAAAAGGCGAAUUAUAAAACGGUAUAAUACGCUGCGUUCAGUAGAACAACAUGGAAUAACCUGAUCACUGAUGGAAUUUAUAUGAUAGUUCUCGGUAAAAAAUGAGCGUAAAAUUGGUACGCCACAUUUUUGUGAUACGUGCUACAUACAGCUGUCGUGUAUCGAUCAGUCAAAUUUCGAUAAAAAUUAAUAGAAUUAAAAUUAAUAUAGUAUGAAGUUAAUUUAAUCUUAUAAAACUGAUUUAGCCGUUUUAAUUUUUACGUGUCAACAAUUGCUGUGCGCAAAGGUGCAGUUUAAGUGGCAACCAAAAACGUUUUUAAAAACGUCAUUUUAAUGAAAACCAUUUCUUAAUAAGAAUAUUUUUAAAAACAAACGCUUGACCAAUCUCCUUCACCUUAUUUUCCACCGCUACAAGUUAUUACUUAUUUUUUUAACGUACUAGUCACUAUAAGAAAAGAUUUUGAGGGAAGGAAUUGAGUUUAUGAUAUGAAAGUACCAAUACUAGCAGCUACAUGUCCGUUCUCCGUGAAACCUUUGGGUUACUUUGUAGCAUUCUUUUACAAAGUAAGGGAUUUAUUUUUACCUGGAACUGAUCGAAUAUAUAAAGGUGUAGCAAGGAUGCAAUCCUGGUUUAAUACUAAAAUGAAAAGCGUUCAUCACUGUGGAUGCCAGUCCCCGUAGUGCCGAAACUCACCAUGGGAUUGUGCCAAGGCGACUUCUAUAUUUACAUUAAAAAACCCACUGUGAUCUUCCAAUUAUUUACAGAAGUACAUUAAUCGAAAUGUAUUUCAAGAACUUAAUGGAUUGGAUAUCAAGACCAAGAUCAAUUGGUUUGGGAGAAAACGAACGAGACCUUAACUGUCAAAAUCGCAAAACAAGAUUUUGAGGAUUUUUCAACAUGAAAAUUUUAUUUGGUUUGUAAAUUUGUCCGUUUCUUCCACAACCUAAAAACUCUAGAAGAUGUUAAUCAGCUCAAUAUAACAAACAUAAGCUCUCCGACUUUUGGUAAAAAUAGCUAGUUUGGACAGACAACUGCUAUAAAUAGCUAAAUUUUGUACACCCGUUAGUUGUGAACUAGUUAAGAUAAAAGUAUGUGCUAAAAAUGUAUUGCAAAAUAUUUUGAACGUCUUUCAAACAUUCUUUGUCUUAAUACCACCGUUUAAAAAUUAUGGGCCAACGUUCUUUUUAUUUAUUUACUUUAUUAAAAAAAUGUUUUUCUGAUUCCUUAAAAACGACUCCUUCAAUUUCGAUUUAUAGUUUAAUUUUUUGAUAUACGAAACAUUCUUGUAAAGUAAAUAUUUGUUUACAUUUGGUUAGAACAGUAUUUUGAAAACUUGUUACGCCCUUCUAGCAUAAUUUGUCUUUUAUCGGUUAAAAAUUAGUGGCAACAUUUUUUUUAUUUAUUUUUUUUUUUUGUAACGAUUUCAGAUUCUACCUUAAAGAGUACAGUUUUUGAGAUUCCUUGACAUAUAACAUGUGGUUGUAAAAUGCUACUUUUUAAAGCUUUUAAUCAACAAAAAUGGACAGAUUUACCUGUUCAGAGCAUGUAACACUGCCUGAGCAUUGAACUUCUUUGGGAUCCUGAAAUCAUUUUUAAUUUAUGACUUUUGGAAAAAGUAGAUGAAUUAUAUGAAAGAUGAUUGAAACAAAAAUUUCUGAUAUAAAACAAAAACAUUAUUUAUUGACGAACGCAUCUACACCUAACAAAAAAUUAUGAUAUCAACCUUUGUGACGAAAAUGUAUUAUAGAAUCUACUAAAUAAAAACAUUUUCCUCAUUUUUUUUAUGUUUGUACCGCUCUAUUAAAAUCAGAAAAUAGUUUUGUUUGGUUUGACGCGUCUUUUGAUCAACAGAUUACAUUUUAAAAAUAUUCACUUUUACUACUCUUUCUUCCAAACAAAUUGAUUUUUGUUAUGUCUUGGUAUGCAAUCCUUUUAGUAAUUUCAUUACCUUUAAGUUGAUGUAAUACUGUAUAUUUUCAUUCGUGUAUAUAAAAAAGUCGCCAUCUCACACCUCUCUGGUGCUCUUCGUCACUACGUGGUCCCAAUGUCCCCUCUGUCCAUUCUGACACAAUGAAAAAUAGGAAUUACCAAAUGUUGCAAAGCACUAGAAGGGAGUAAAAAGGAAAUCUGAUGGGCAGAAACUUCCAUGGAAGGGUGGGUACUAAAGUUCCUCGAAGCCAUCUGAGGAUUAUAAUAUUGUAAUAAUAAUUAUAAUAAUCAAGAAAAAAAUUCUUUCCUUUGAUCCAAUGAAUUACUCUAUGUGCGUUUGAUUAUUCAAGCUUGUUUGCAUUGCACGUUUAUUUAAGUAAGAAAAUUUUAAAAUAACGGUACUAGGAGCCCUAUAUAAGGGGGUCUAGAAACUGGAUCACCAUGUCAACUAGCAGCAACACCAAAAAGUCAGCAACAAGAUAACCAGUUGUCGGAAGCAGCGCCGUGUGAAGCCUACAAGAAGAAAGAUUUCUACGUCGAGACUUUCGGGAUUGGGACAUCUGGAAUCUGCGAACUGAGGUACAGGUAGCUGAGAUCCGGAAGGCGUCACACGGCUAAGUCAAGGCGGUUUCUUACCAACUUUGUCACAACUACACUGUUUGAUCAUUUUACUGUUUUUUAAUCUUUUCUAUUUUCGUUUCGAUGCCCGAUUGUCGAAAGCUGCAAUAAAUUUUCCGCAAAAGGUCGGAAAGCAACGUUCAUACUAAGUUACAACAAAAUAAUAGAUUCUACACAAUACUAGACUUUAUUAAAUACUGACACUAAAUACCGAUGUAAAAAGAAAAAAAGUCUAGUUACAUUCUUGAAUGGAAAAGCUUUUGGAAUAAACAAAACAUUUAUACAUAUAA